AGUUGCCAAUGUGAAGUAUUGGAAGAGUAGCAUCUGAAACUUUCUGGGACAGAGGGGGCUGUUUUAUUAUCUCAUUCUUCGAUUUUAAUAAGAAGUGAAGAAGAGCCUCAAAGUAUUGUGAGUAAAGACGAGGAUUUCUCCUCCAGUCCAGGGCUUGUCAUGGAUGAAGAGACUCAGCACAGCCUUGAAUGCAUCCAGGCAAAUCAGAUUUUUCCCAGGAAGCAGCUGAUCCGAGAGGAUGAGAACCUUCAGGUCCCGUUCAUUGAACUUCAUGGUGAGAGUACGGAGUAUGUAGGACGAGCAGAGGAUGCCAUCAUUGCACUUUCUAAUUACAGGCUUCACAUCAAAUUCAAGGAGUCAGUUGUGAAUGU